rnacentral:lncRNA from 1 species
GGUUCAUUGUGAAUGUGUGUAUUUGUCAAGCUUUGUGAAUGCCAGUGUCUCCUUGUGAUUUUUUCUUCCUUGGAUUUUGCUCCUUGUGUGUUUGCCUUUGGGAUUUCUUUUGGUUGGACUAUUUUGAAAGUAAGUUUUUGUUGCUUUUCUUUUAGUUCCUUUUAAAUAAGUCAAUUUUUGUUUUGUAUUUUGGGUCCUUCCCUUCUUGUUUAACUCCAAAUCGCCACACUCCUGUUUGCUAACAUAAUAGCAGUCAGUUGUCAUCCAUCUCUUCUGUUUACAAAAAUGCCCCAGUAGCAGAAGAACUGAUCCUCUAAUAGUUAUGAAGUUGUGAUUGGCCUGACCUGAAUGAGGUUGAAAAGAACUGUAUUUGGACCAGAGGAGAACCAGGUGCAUCUGCCACUGCAAAUAAAACAUUAACUUUCAGUCUUAUCUGGUUCCCACAGUAUCCAGUGACAAUGACUGUGUGAGAUCUGGCACACAUAGUGAUGAACUAUCACCUGUAUCUGCAGCUUGCCUUGACUGUACAGAGCUAAAAUAGCAAGUAUCACUCUGUUGUUUAGCUGCCUGACCUGCUUUUUUACUGUCUGUACUCUCACAAUGUAUUUCAGCCUUAAAAGUAGCUAUUUUUUUUUUUUAGUGAUAGGCUCCAAACAGCAGACUGGCACAGUACCUGAACUAUCUAUUGCAUUUUUAAGCUAAUCUUGGUAAGGGCUCAUGCUCUGCUGUUAGCUAGCUAGCUUACAGUGUGUUUGUCCUGACCAAGAUUAGCUGAAAAUUGCAGUAGCUAAUUCAGGUAGUAUGCUAACUGUGCCAGUCUGCCGUUUGGAGCCUAUCACUUAAAAUGGCUGCUAUUGAGGCUGAAAUACAUUGUGAGAGUACAGGCAGUAAAAAUGUAUUUCAGCCUCAAAAGCAGCCAUUUUUAGUGAUAGGCUCCAAACAGCAGACUGGCACAGUUAGCAGGUAGCCUACCUGAAUUAGCUAUUGCAGUUUUCAGCUAAUCUUGGUGUUAGCUAGCUAGCAUACAGUGUGUUUGUCUUGACCUUCUAUUUAUCAUACUGAGAGUUGAUUCACUGAUAAUUAAUGCAUAUGCCUUUUUAACAUGAAAAGAACUGUUUGUUUUUUUCUGAUUGACUAGCCUGUCUUAUCUGCCCUAUUAGACUUUACUCAUGGUUCUGACAUUUUGGGGCUAAUCUCCAACUCUUGACUUGGUUAGUAAUCUAGGCUACCCCCUUGUCUCUUUCCCACAGCGCCUGGAGAAACCCAUGCGUCACUCCUGCCCGGCCUCCCACCUCUGCUGUGAGUCCCCUCCACUGGUGGGCAUGGGAAACCUAAGACCAUCUCAGAGAGCAUGAUUUAUUCAAACUCUGCAUGUUUAUGUGCCAUUCAUAUUUAUUCACAGCUCCUUGGAGGCCCACAGGUCAAGCCCUAGCUGUUAUUUUCUGAGUUAAUGUUCCUGUUUUGUCAACAAAUUAAAAAAAAACAUUGAUAGUUAUACAACUUGGUGCUUCAGACAGAGUUACAGCUGACUGAACCUCCAAUUACUUUCUGCUGAUAGACGCACAUCUGAGGCAGAAUUUACGUAAGAGGAUCUUCUCGGCCUGUGAGCUAUCCAUCAUGAUAAGAAAGAUAUGAAGCAGAACCCUGCUUGUUUGCAGGAAAUAAGGCUUGAGGGAAGUUAUCACUCAACUAAAAAAUCCAGACUCCCACAAAAGAAUAACCUAAAACCAGCUGGUUAGAGCCACAAAAUGAAAAAUGCCUUUUUUUGUUAACUUCAAAAGAGUGGCUUUGUACUGUAUUGUGUCAAAACAGCGAAGAGCAAUAACUUAGCCGUCUCUUUUUAUGCUCAGUUAUGUUUCUAAAUUCGACGCCAGUGGACUCCCAAUUAAAGAAGACAAGACUGUGAUUCCAUCUGGUGACAAUAUGCGCGCAAAUAUGUGGGACUGUCUUCACAACAGGAGGUCAAGCAUUUGCAAAUGAUACUAAAAGUUGUCAAGAAAACAAAUUUUAUGGAAAAAUAAAUAAAUUAGGAAACAAACAUCAGAGGCAUUUAGAGUUUUCAGUACAUUUUUUUAAAUUAAUUGAAUUAUAUGUUAGUGUGUAGAAAAAACUCAAGUAAAAGACAAAUGAGUCCAGAUUGAGAGUGAUACUGACAAAAAUAAAGAUUUAAUUCAAUGUUGGCAUUAAAUCUGGCAAUUAAUCUACCACUGUCUGGCAGAGGUCUUCGGCCAUUGCCUUAACAUUCAAAACUAAUAUUUCUCAAUAUGUGUGUGCGUGUGUGUUAUAGGUGUAAACAUGCCGUAUCAUUUCUAACCAGCAGAGAGCAGCAUUGGACAGAAAGAACCAUCAUCUGACAGCUCUGAGUGCAGCAUGGAUGUCACCAGGUAAGAGCCAGAUUGCACUUAAUUUUGAAUAAGUGAGAGAAAAAUCAAAAAUUGAUUGAUAAAGUACAACAAAUAUUGUGGGUAUUCAUUGAGUGGCUUCUCUGAAAGCAGACAUUUCAAUUGGUCGUAACAGGAGAAAAAACAACAGGUGUUAUCAAUCAGACUAAUGAUGGCUGAGGAUCAUUAAAGUGUUGAAAUGAGCCAAAGAGUGAGGCAGUGUUUGCAAUAACAAGACUCUAAACUUGAAACAGCCAAAUGGAAGCCAUAAGGAAUGUAAAAAAAUAAUCAAAAAUAGAAUAAUUCAAGCUCAAGUUUACAUUUUUUUAUUGUCAGGUGAUUUUUUUUCUCGAUGGACUUCAACUGCAUAAGCCAAGUUACAGCUUUCGGGUUACAACAGCUACCUUUAACUGUGGGUAUCUGUGUGAUAUCUAUGUCUGAUCUAAGAGAGAUAGCCUGUAUAAAUACAUGACUAAUGUCCUGUGAAGAUGCACUUCCUUUCCCAGGGAGCUCUAUUAGAAACCAGGUGCAUGCUAUCAUAACAGAAAACAUCUGGUGAACAUGAAGCAACCAUGGCAACUGUGCCUGUUUUUACCAUUCAGUAUUUGGAGUACAACUACACAAGAGUGCCAAUCCUUCACCGGGACCCAUGAAUAUUUAAUACAGCAGGCCCGCAGUCAUACAGUAACCUAAGUGUGUUUCACCUUAUCACUUCUAAGUAGCACUGAUUGGUGCGUGUUUGCCUCGUACAUCUUGUUGACAACAUACAUCAUUUCCUAUUCAUUUAUGCAGUUUGUUACUGCGAGGCACACUUCUGUAACUACACACUUGGCUGUGGGUCUUACUCUUCAAAUACUGCAAGGAUUCAAGGAUUUAGAGAUUUAUUUCUCUCUCUCACUCUCUCUUUCUCUCUCACUCUCUCUCUCACAUACACACACAUACAAACAUUAUCUAUGCUCUCAGGCAAAGCUCAAAGGCCUGUGUGAAAAAUAUACGCUCAGAAAUAGAAAUGUAAGAAAUAAAAUGUUUAAAAUAUAAACAUAUAGCCAUGUUAACAUGCAACAUUUUGAUUGAAUGUACAACCAAGUAACAGACGCUAUUUGAAAAAUUAAUAUUUAAGUCAAAUUAAGAAAUCAUUGUCUUAAACUCUUCAUAAUAUGUGUGUGCAUGUGUGUGUGUUUGUCUUUAUGGCUCUCUGCACUGCACAGCAUCACAAGAGGAAGAUAGGAGCUGCAGCCAGCUGAUAUAAAAAGAAACCCAGCAGUGGCAGCAGUGGAGCCAAAGUGAUUCAAUAAAUGAGCGAGCAGAGCCAGAGCACAAAGCUCUGCGAAGCCAAUUGUUUUGUACUUCAAAGUCUGGCUAAUAUCAAAAACAAGGCGGUUCAGGCUGCCCGCAGUCAGAACAGAUUCCCUGGCUCAUAGGAACAGCCAAUAAUUAAAAGCUUGUUGCAUUUUUGAAAUUAUGCUUCCCUUUAAAUAUAUGCAAUAUUCACUUCUACUGGAAAAAUGUGCGCCGAGCCACAAUUGGCCAUAAUGUGCAGCUUGUUUUAAUUUCAUAAAAUAAAAAUGUGACCUUUCAAAAUAAAUAUCUAAUCUCAUGCAUCAUCC